rnacentral:rRNA from 1 species
GGACCGUACAAACGUUAUUCGGAAUCACUGGGCUUAAAGGGUGCGUAGGCGGCGUAGCAAGUUGGGGUGUGAAAGCCCUCGGGCUCAACCGAGGAAUUGCGCCCAAAACUGCUAUGCUUGAGGGAGACAGAGGUGAGCGGAACUUAGGGUGGAGCGGUGAAAUGCGUUGAUAUCCUAAGGAACACCCGUGGCGAAAGCGGCUCACUGGGUCUCUUCUGACGCUGAGGCACGAAAGCUAGGGGAGCGAACGGGAUUAGAUACCCCGGUAGUCCUAGCUGUAAACGAUGAGCACUGGGCUGGAGGAUCCUCCAUAGUCUUCCGGCCGAAGCGAAAGUGUUUAGUGCUCCGCCUGGGGAGUAUGGUCGCAAGGCUG